rnacentral:rRNA from 1 species
CCUACGGGAGGCAGCAGUGGGGAAUAUUGCACAAUGGGGGAAACUCUGAUGCAGCGACGCCGCGUGAGUGAUGAAGUAUUUCGUUAUGUAAAGCUCUGUCAGCAGGGAUGAAAAUGACGGUACCUGAGUAAGAAGCCCCCGCUAAACAAGUGCCCGCAGCCGCCGUAAGACGGAGGGGGCAAGCGGUAUCCGGGUAUACGUGGGGUAAAGGGGGCGGAGACGGCAGUGCAAGGUUGGAGUGAAAGGCCGGGGCGCAACCCCCGGAAUGCACUUGAAACUGUUCGGCUGGAGUGCAGGAGAGGUAAGUGGAAUUCCUGGUGUAGCGGUGGAAUGCGUAGAUAUCAGGAGGAACACCAGAGGCGAAGGCGACUUACUGGACUGUAACUGACGUUGAGGCUCGAAAGCGUGGGGAGCAAACAGGAUUAGAUACCCUUGUAGUC